rnacentral:rRNA from 1 species
UACGUAGGUGGCAAGCGUUGUCCGGAUUUACUGGGCGUAAAGAGCGCGCAGGCGGUCGUUCAAGUCGAGUGUGAAAUCCCUCGGCUCAACCGAGGACGUGCAUCCAAAACUGCUUGGCUUGAGUACUGAAGAGGAUCGCGGAAUUCCCGGUGUAGAGGUGAAAUUCGUAGAUAUCGGGAGGAACACCAGUGGCGAAGGCGGCGAUCUGGGCAGAUACUGACGCUGAGGUGCGAAAGCGUGGGGAGCAAACAGG